GGUAGUGUGGCCGUUGGUCUAAGGCACUGGCUUUAGGCUCCAGUCUCUUCGGGUGUGUGGGUUCGAAUCCCACCGCUGCCA
rfam:Danio rerio chromosome 6, GRCz11 reference primary assembly.